UACAGAGGUCUCAAGCGUUGUUCGGAAUCAUUGGGCGUAAAGGGCGCGUAGGUGGUUCUGUAUGUCUACCGUGAAAGCGUACGGCUCAACCGUAUUUUGUCGGUGGAAACUGCAGGACUUGAGGCUGGGAGGGGCUGGUGGAAUUCCCUGUGUAGCGGUGAAAUGCGUAGAGAUGGGGGAGAACACUCGUGGCGAAGGCGGCCAGCUAAACCAGUUCUGACACUGAGGCGCGACAGCGUGGGGAGCAAACAGG
rnacentral:rRNA from 1 species